UAGGGAAUCUUCCGCAAUGGACGAAAGUCUGACGGAGCAACGCCGCGUGAGUGAUCAAGGUUUUCGGAUCGUAAAACUCUGUUGUUAGGGAAGAACAAGUUGGGUAGUAACUGACCCAACCUUGACGGUACCUAACCAGAAAGCCACGGCUAACUACGUGCCAGCAGCCGCGGUAAUACGUAGGUGGCAAGCGUUGUCCGGAAUUAUUGGGCGUAAAGCGCUCGCAGGCGGUCUUUUAAGUCUGAUGUGAAAGCCCACGGCUUAACCGUGGAGGGUCAUUGGAAACUGGAGGACUUGAGUACAGAAGAGGAGAGUGGAAUUCCACGUGUAGCGGUGAAAUGCGUAGAGAUGUGGAGGAACACCAGUGGCGAAGGCGACUCUCUGGUCUGUAACUGACGCUGAGGAGCGAAAGCGUGGGUAGCGAACAGG
rnacentral:rRNA from 1 species